AGCCACAAUGGCCUUUUUCAAGGCUUAGCUAGCUGAAGGAUUUUGGGUCUCUUGGCCUAAUCUGUGAGGAACUGGGCCCCAAAGAUAGAAAUGGCACAUUACGCAGUACGCCCUACAGACGGCUGUCCUGGAGACGUAAAGUUGCUACCGAGUACACUAAGGUAGCCUAUGAUUUUCAGAAGAAUGCCUACAGCUUGCCCUUCGAGCAGUAAAGCCACACCAGACUUAUAUACAUGCACAUUCUUGUGAAAGGUUAAACAAGCUAACGUGCAUA
rnacentral:lncRNA from 1 species